CUCGAAAUUAGUCAUACCUUAAGGUUCAGGCUUUAAAAGUAUUCAACCAUCGAGUCAUCCGUGCGAUCUCAGUUAGCCUCUCUCUCGGAGUACCUACUGACAAGAUUUUGAUUUACAAAGUCAUGGCAUCUCCAAAACUUGAUCCUUUCCAUCUAUGACAUGUAGGAGUUCUUUGAUCUCUUUCAAAAGAGGACUAAUCUUCCAACCUUAGAUUUUAAAUGCUAUGAUUCUUGGCCCAAGAAAUUAAUUGCUCUCGAUUAAGUCCACACAACGAUCGUAAUUGGCUUAACAGAAAUAGAUGAAGCAUCAAAUACUUUUCAUAAUCUAUGAUCCUCUUUCUUCUUUUAACUUUGCCCAUGAUUUAAUGAUCAACCUUUAUCCUAAGAACACCUCAAACCCUUUUUCAAAUGGAUAGAUUGAUAAUGUCAUAGCUAGGAGU
rnacentral:lncRNA from 1 species